UCCUUCCUCACUAUGCUGCAACCACAUUGGAACCUCUCUUAUUACCCAGAUACAUCAAUGUACUUCUGAAAUCAAGAUGCCAUCUUCCGUUUUCACUGUUCCCCUUUCUUUUUAAUAGACAUCUAUUUUACAGAGUUUUUAAUGUGAGUUCAACAAGACGACACUGUGGGGGAUAAAUGAGAAGAAGAAAUACAGAAUAGAUUCAGGAAUUUGGCGGAGAGAGUGGUGAAUGUGGGCUGGAGAUGUUGGAGAAAGAUCCAGAAAUGUGUGACUGACUGCAGAUCUGCAGGCGCCUCCUUUGAAUUUGUGAAGGGCAGGAAUCUCUCUUGGUCUCCUCCCACACUGAAUUUAGCAACCCUGAAAUCAUCAUUUCCUAGACUGCCAAAAAGAGAAAAACUCAUGAAGUCACUUCAGUUUCUGUCCCUUCUCACUCGCAUCUAUUUUCCAUACAGAAACUGGAGGCAUCUUUUCAUUUCCCAGAU
rnacentral:lncRNA from 1 species